rnacentral:lncRNA from 10 species
CAUUUUUAGUCAUGGAUUUAUGAUUUUUAUACAAAAGAAUGACAAUGUUACUGCUGUAGUGCUACAUGUGGUGGUGUUAUGCUCUUCCAUAAAGGAUGAGAAAGUAAGGGUAUCUGUCGCCAAGGCUGGAGUGCAGUGGCAUGAUCUGGGCUCACCGCAGCUUCCGCCUCACAGGUUCAAGUGAUCUUCCCACCUCAGCCUCCCAGGUAGCUGGGACUAUAAGCGAAGACCACCACACUUGGCUAUUUUUUUUUUCAGUAGAGAUGGGGUUUCACUAUGUUGCCCAGGCUUGUCUCCAACUCAUGAGUUCAAGCAAUCUGCCCAUCUUGGCCUCCAAAAGUGCUGAGAUUUACAGAUAACAAAAUCCUGGAAAAGAGAUGCCAAGUAACUUUUCCAAGAUCAAUGAUCUAGUAACUGGCAGAGCUGGGUGCAAACCAAAGUGGUCUGACUUUGGAACUAAUAUAUGAAAUAUAAAUCAUCUUUUAAGUGGAGUGGCCCAAGAACACUUUAUAUAUGACCUAUAGAAAGAACACUCAACUCUUUCCUGAAAAACAGUACCAAGUUGAAGGCUGAAGAGGGAGUGAAUAAAUGGAAAAGUAUUUUUUUCUUAGGUAAGAAGACUAUAUUGCACAUGUACACAAAUUAUGUUAUGUACCAUUUGUUACACAAACAUUUUCAAUAGCAAUGACUGAGAAUACCCUGAGAUUCCAUCUGUAAAUGGACAGUAUAAAUAAAUGUGGUAUAUUCAUAUGAGAGAGUAUGUCAUUUUUUUAAGGUUGAUUAAUAUGUGCUAAUGUAAAAAGACAGGCAAGCUCUACUAGUGAAAAAAAGAAAGUACAGAACACAAUACUCCAAUUAAUCUAAAAAAAGGAGAUUUCCA